GCAGACACAUUCCAGCCAAUCAGCAGCAGACCCUCCCUCCCAGACCCUCCCACCUCCUGGACAGCUCACUAAGAAUGCAGCUUCACAAUGGAUGCUGUCCAGGAGUUGGGAGGGUCUGGGAGGGGGGGUCUGCUGCUGAUUGGCUGGAAUGUGUCUG